UGUGCUCUGGAGAACCACAGCGCUCUGUGGGGUGGCGAGCUGUUGCUGCGGCUUCCAGCACUGUGCUUUAUGUGCAUUUCACCAGGUCCCACAAGUGGCGUGUUUGAAUCUCCCCACGUGUAGCCCUCUCCCCCAGAGAAGAAAAGUGGCCGCACACGGAUAAAGGGCCUUUCCUGAGAGAGCAGUUACAGAGCCAGACCCAGAGCACGCGUCUGGGCUGAUGGACCACGCCACGCACCGCGAGCCCUGCCCGGGGAGCCAGGAGGGCCAGCCGCUUCCGCUGCAGAUGAGUGAGCCGCUGGUUUCCGAGGGGGACGCCCAGGAACUGAGACAGAUCCUGAGGAAACUGAAGAGUCUCGCCCUGGACACUGAGACGGAGCUGGAGAGGCAGGACGAGGCCCUGGACGGCAUCACUGCAGCUGUCGACCGGACCACCUUAACCAUCGACAAGCAUAACCGACGUGCCAAAAAACUGACCUAGGACAGAAGAGCAGAGAGGUGACUGGUUUUGAUGACAGUCACUCCCCUGAGUACUUUGUUCUCAACACCUGCACACGUCCUUGACAUAAAAACCUGGAAGGUCAUUCCAAAAGCGGGUUAGUAGUUGGAGGCCCUGGGCCAGGAGGUGCAGGCUUGCCUCAGGGUGGAGGAUCCCGACCACUGCACAUGCAGGAAGAAGGAGCUCCAGGAGAGGGGAGUUCUGCCUGCAGAUCCGGCGAGCACCCCCAGCACCUCCCCUGCCGUGGUGGCCCCAGCUCCCCUCCUCCCCGCUCCCCACAGGCCCCGCUGCCUUCUCCCCUGCUCCCCACAGGUCCUGGCUCCCUUCUUCCCCUCCCUCCCCUCAGUCCCCGGCUCCCCACACAUACUUGAGCCCUUCAGAGCGUCCCCAGCAGCAGGAAGGCUCUUCCCUGCAAGGCUGGCUGUACCCAGUGCUCGGUGGCUGCUUUGCAUGCUUAGCAUGGCCACUAGCUGAAUUUUUAUUCUCUCUGUUCUUGCUAGGUGUAAAGGGGCCAUUUAAAUCCCUAUGACAGAAAUGUGCUUAUUUCUGAGUCUGCGCACCUGAACCCUGCAUCCUGUGUCAGCAGAACCCCUUCUCCAGGACCACAGACAGGCCCGAGCCUGUUCCCCUCUGGGGGCUGCUCUGCAUGGGCCCCUCCAUAGUCACUUUGUUCUGUGACUUGUUUUGUUCUCUGAUAGGCCGGUUUCUUUUUGGUUGUACUGUGACUUUUUACCUGAAGUCCAGUACAUCUCGAGGUCAUCCUGUGAACACUGGGAAUAUUCUUUUCACUGCCCAGUUUGUAGCCAAGUGUAAAAAUAAUACACACAGCACCUAUUUAAAAAGUGUUGCUUUUUUUUCUUUAACUGCCCCAUUUCUAUCCAGAAAUGAGAGAAGUCAUAGUUUUAGAAUAUAUUUUGAAGAUAGGCAUUCAUGCUGCUUUUUGCUUGGUUUUGGGUGCGUUAGUGGGAGGGCCCCUCAGGGAAGGACGGAUGGGGGCAGAGUGGAGAAGUGGAUGACCCCUUCCCUUGUCACAGCAGAACAGGCCACCUCCAGACUGCUUUGGAAUAGCGGCCCAGAGGGCAGUGCGCAGAGAGGUGCCGUUGGGCCUUGUCGAAGUGUCCCUUUGAGGCACCUUUCCUCUGGAUCUUCUCUGGCAGGCCCUGUAUUGGCAUUCUGAGUCCCGGGUGGUUUGAAGAGUGAAUGCACAGGCGCAGUGCUAGUUUUCUGGGGCUGCUAAUGAAUGACCACAAAUGGGCGUCUUAGGACAACAGGCAUUGUCCUCUCCGGGUCUGGAGGCCAGGAGUCUGUGGUCAAGGUGUCGCAGGGCUGUGCUCCCUCUGAAGGCUCCAGGAGGCUCCCUCCUGCCUCUCCCAGCUGGAGGGGGGGACCCAGGCGUUCUGGGCUCGUGGCCGCGUCUCCCCAGUCUCUGCCUCUGCCACUGCGUGGCCGUCUCAAAUCCCCCUCUCCCUUCUCUCGUCAGGUCAGCCUUUGCAUUGUGUGACAGUUUCCACUAGGUCACAUUCCAAGGUUUGGUGGGGUCCCCUAGGAGUGCUCAGCCUUCUGGAAGCUGACCUGUUCAAGAAGACACAGGAAGGAGCAGUUCCAGAGAAGAACCUUCCCAGGGGCCUUCUAAUUCUUCACUCUUUGAAUGUGCUGAAUUCUGUUCCUAGUCUCCAGCUGCCUUCUUUGCUCUGUACUUGCCAACCUUCCAAAUGAGAAGUGCGCCUGUCCUUUCAGGGUUUCCGACUCCAGUGCUGGUGUGUGAGUGGCUGCUCCUGGCCUUCCCUGGCACAGUGAGGGUCCAGCACAGCCAUCGCAGAGGUCGCAGCCCCAGGCAGCUGCUUCCGCUCAGGCCCAGCGCUGGGGAGGGCAGGGAGAGCACAGCUGUGUGCGGAUGCGGCAGCAAGGACAGUCACUGAGAGCUUACACAGGGCCCAGAAGCGGUGGCUGGACCGUACCCUCUGGCGCGGGGGAUGAUGCCGGAGGAGAGGCAGCCCGUGCCCCGGGCCCAGGGCGAGUGCAGGGGGCAAGCCGUGUGCCCAGAAGCUGCAGCUUGUCCCAACAGCCCUCGAGGAAUGGCGACGUUCCCAGAGGUGGAACAUAUGGUUCUGAGCCACAGCCGCAUUCUGGGCUCGCACGAGGGACUCAGAAAACGCACACCCACCCACCGACCCCAGGUUCCCCCAGUCAGAAUCUCUAUGGGUAUGCAUGCUUCUCGAGUGUUUCUAAGGAGCAGGCCAGGUGACUUACUGCCAGCAGGCCUGCUCUCUCUCCAUAUCUGUCUGUGGAGAGCCCUGAGCAGCCAAAGGGAAAACAGACCUGCCCCACCCUGCUGCUGUUCUGAAUCCCAGGAGGGCGCUGCUAGGGAAGUCCAGCCAGCAUCCACUUGUCCUGAAGACAUGCACUGCCCAGCACCUGCAUGGCAUGAGGCUGCACACACUUGGGCCAGUGACAGGACUCUGCCCGGAACAAGCCUCCUUUUCCAGCACCUGGGGAUGCUUAAAACCCCCGGCACUGGGCAUGAAGGUAUGUGGGACCAAAGGCAUUGUAGCAUUUUUAGAGGACUAGUCUCUAGGCCAUUCUCUCCCACAAAUACUUAAAUGAUAGAGACUACGGUCUUUCUCUGCAGAAUUAGAGUGUUAAAAAGAAAGGUCCAUCAGGAUCUUUUCAUGGUACCUACUAACCUUGACACCAGACUUAGCUUGUUCACCUUAGACCCUUCCAGUAGCAAAAAAUCCAUUGCCAAACUGAUUUGCCUGGAGCCUAAGCACAGAAACCUACCUGUUGAACUGACUGCUAGUCUCCAAGGCAGAGGCAAAAGUGCAAAAACCCUAUGAAACCAGGCAAUAACUCCAAAACCCACUACUCCCAAUCCCAGCUGUACACCACCUCCGACUGUUCCCACAACACCACAGCCGCACUAACUCUGCGCCCAUUGCUCCCCAUCCCAGGUGCUCUAACUCCACCCCCCACUGCUUCCCAUCCCAGGUGCUCUACCUCCA